UAGGGAAUCUUCCACAAUGGGACGAAAGUCUGAUGGAGCAACGCCGCGUGAGUGAAGAAGGGUUUCGGCUCGUAAAGCUCUGUUGGUAGUGAAGAAAGAUAGAGGUAGUAACUGGCCUUUUAUUUGACGGUAAUUACUUAGAAAGUCACGGCUAACUACGUGCCAGCAGCCGCGGUAAUACGUAGGUGGCAAGCGUUGUCCGGAUUUAUUGGGCGUAAAGCGAGUGCAGGCGGUUCAAUAAGUCUGAUGUGAAAGCCUUCGGCUCAACCGGAGAAUUGCAUCCAAUACUGUCGGACUUGAGUGCAGGAGAGGAAAGCGGAAAUUCCUAGUGUAGCGGUGAAAUGCGUAGAUAUUAGGAGGAACACCGGUGGCGAAGGCGGCUUUCUGGA
rnacentral:rRNA from 1 species